rnacentral:rRNA from 1 species
UGCUAUGGCCAUGCCACUCUGAACAAGCCCACUCCCGUCUAUUCUCGGAAGCUAAGCAGGGGCAGGCCUGGUUAGUACUUGGAUGGGAGACCAUGUAGGAAGACCAGGUUCUGUAUAAA